rnacentral:rRNA from 1 species
CUGGGUGGAUCAGUGGCGAACGGGUGAGUAACACGUGAGCAAUCUGCCCCUGACUCUGGGAUAAGCGCUGGAAACGGUGUCUAAUACUGGAUAUGAGCUGCGACCGCAUGGUCAGUAGUUGGAAAGAUUUUUCGGUCAGGGAUGAGCUCGCGGCCUAUCAGCUUGUUGGUGAGGUAAUGGCUCACCAAGGCGUCGACGGGUAGCCGGCCUGAGAGGGUGACCGGCCACACUGGGACUGAGACACGGCCCAGACUCC